rnacentral:lncRNA from 1 species
GAUUCUUGGCCCCAGCUAUAAACUAUUUAAUCAUCGAUUUUCUCUCCUCUUCUAGACUGAAAGUUCUCUCUCAAACAAUCUUCCUUUCUUAUUUUUAUAAAAAAAAAUUCAGAGAGAUUAGAUAUUGUCUUGAGAGUGAGAGAGACCGUCGGAUUUUUUGGUUUCCGGUUUCGGUUUUAUCCGACCGGCUCUGCCUCCGGCGUUCUCGCCUUCUUCUCCGGCGAUGGACGGCCGGUUUUGUUUCCGGGAGGUGAUGGCUCCUUCAAGCAUCGCCGGCUAAAGUCUGGGUUUUUCUCUUCUUUUGGGCUUUAUGUUUUUUUUGGCUCUGAGCUUUAGUCCCUUUAUAAUAUUAACCGAUGGAAAAAAAAAGAUUCUUGGCCCCAGCUUUUUGAAAUGGUUACAGUCCGUUUAUUAUCUUGUACUCAUUACCCUGCGCCCAUGCUUGCAUGCAAAUUGCUACGUCUCUGGUAACAUUAUUCUCCUUCACUUUUUGGGCUCGGAAAGCUCUACUCUAUCAUUACUGAUAAUUGAUACAAUCAAGUGAUUUGACAUAAACAAUCAAAUACCAAAACUACACGUGAUGAAGGUACUUGUAAUUGUAAAUUAACAAUCAUAGCGUAACCUUGUACUUGUAUGUUCCUGACAUAUCGAAUUACAGUGCGAAUCUAAUUAUAAAAUUAGUGUUCGUAUGCAUCUAUGUGUUUUCAGCCUUGCGUGUCUUCCUAUGAAUCCACUUGCUUUGAGAUGCGUGCCCAUCUCCUAAAACAUAAUUGUUUUUAAUAUUCCGCUUUUUUUUCCCUAGAAUUUAUUUAAUGUACAGAGCCCAAAAGACAAAACUCAAAAACACGUUACAAAGAGGACAGAGAACCCAACACAAAGGGCAAACUAAAAGACUAUAGUGGGCCGCAGCCCAAACCCCAAACCCGUAAGCGCCAUAUCGCACCAUGCGUGUUUCGUGGUCGGAACACGUGUUAAGAUCCUCACCAGCGAAGAAUACGUGUCACAAAGCCGCCACCUGUUAUCGAAACCUCCACUCGAGGGCACGUGUCAUAAGAUCAGAUUGCCGCCGCUC